CGGCGUGCUUAACACAUGCAAGUCGAACGGAAAGGCCUCAGCUUGCUGGGGUACUCGAGUGGCGAACGGGUGAGUAACACGUGGGUGAUCUGCCUUGCACUUCGGGAUAAGCUUGGGAAACUGGGUCUAAUACCGGAUAGGACAGCUGUUUAGUGUCAGUUGUGGAAAGUUUUUUCGGUGCAAGAUGAGCUCGCGGCCUAUCAGCUUGUUGGUGGGGUAAUGGCCUACCAAGGCGUCGACGGGUAGCCGGCCUGAGAGGGUGGACGGCCACAUUGGGACUGAGAUACGGCCCAGACUCCUACGGGAGGCAGCAGUGGGGAAUAUUGCACAAUGGGCGGAAGCCUGAUGCAGCGACGCCGCGUGGGGGAUGAAGGCCUUCGGGUUGUAAACUCCUUUCGACAGGGACGAAGCUUUUGUGACGGUACCUGUAUAAGAAGCACCGGCUAACUACGUGCCAGC
rnacentral:rRNA from 1 species